rnacentral:rRNA from 1 species
AAUACACCGGAAGAUUUAGUGGCGAACGGGUGAGGAUCACGUGAGAAACGUGCCCCAGACUCUGGGAUAACAAUUGGAAACGAUUGCUAAUACCGGAUGACGUCGGAGAAUCGCAUGAUUCACUGACGAAAGAUAUUUCGGUUUGGGAGCGUCUCGCGGCCUAUCAGCUUGUUGGUGGGGUAAUGGCCUACCAAGGCAACGACGGGUAGCUGGUCUGAGAGGAUGAUCAGCCACACUGGGACUGAGACACGGCCCAGACUCCUACGGGAGGCAGCAGUGGGGAAUCUUGCGCAAUGGGCGAAAGCCUGACGCAGCAACGCCGCGUGCGGGAUGAAGGCCUUCGGGCUGUAAACCGCUUUCAGCAGGAACGAAAAUGACGGUACCUGCAGAAGAAGGAGCGGCCAACUACGUGCCAGCAGCCGCGGUGACACGUAGGCUCCAAGCGUUGUCCGGAUUUAUUGGGCGUAAAGAGCUCGUAGGCGGUUGAGUAAGUCGGGUGUGAAAACUCUGGGCUUAACCCGGAGACGCCAUCCGAUACUGCUCUGACUAGAGUUCAGGAGGGGAGUGGGGAAUUCCUAGUGUAGCGGUGAAAUGCGCAGAUAUUAGGAGGAACACCGGUGGCGAAGGCGCCACUCUGGACUGAAACUGACGCUGAGGAGCGAAAGCAUGGG